CACUUUAUGGCAUGGAGCUCUAUGUUUUAACUCACCUAUCCCCCAUUCUCCCUUACUGCUAAAAGAAAUCAAGCUUCCGUUUUCCCAAUCAUACGCUGAUGGGGCAGAUUCUGUCAGGCAACGCAGGACAAACGCUCCCAGAACAUCAAGAAUCUUAAACCUGGCGGGGCCUUUCGAAGAAAAAGAACUUCACAUUUGAAGGAGGCUGAAGUGCAGGUGACUUAACUUCAGGUGCUAAAGAAUCAACACCUCCUGCCUCAGCACCUGCUCAUCAUCAUCCUGAAUCAGAGUCAACCAGUGGGAUCGCACCCUCAUCCUAUUAUGCUUCCAGAGGAAUGUUACACAUCACAGCUACCACCUCCACUACCAGGAGGCCAUUGAAUGUCAUAUCCUUCUCAGGCCACAGGGACCCCUCACCUGGUUUAUAGCCUCCACCAAUGACCUCUAAUACACGCUCUCCUCCGGGAUCUUCCUGACCUCAAAAUGAUGGCCCACCUAUUUUCUCAUGAAAUCAUUACAAACAGAACUCUGAGUCCCUCGUCUACCAUUUAAGUACCUUUGUUCAAGCUGAGCAAGCUAGUACAAGAUGGAGAAGUAACAGAAAUGAAGCUCAGCUCAGAAUGUGAAGUGACUUGUUCAAGGUCCCUCAGUUGCAGCUAACCCGGUACUUAGAGAAGUCAACAAGUACUUGAUGAAUGAAGGACAAGAGGAAAGAAUGAUGGUAGUGCUAAAAACAGUGGUAACGGCCAUGUGCUGAGCACCUCUUCUACCAGGCAUCCAGACUAGAAAAGGAACAAGAACGUGGAAACUGGCAAUCUUAACACUUCAUUUAUUGCUCAUGAGAUAUCUUGGGAGGUAUCUUGGUGCGGAGAACAAUGCCGAUUCUCCCAGAGAAUUUAAAAGAAGAAUUGUAUGAGAAAUGCAUCCUUCACUUCAUUCUGUGGGAUUAUUUGAAGACUUUAGUGUUUAUCUUAUCAUCUGAUCUGGGGCUCUCAAGGGGAAAUGACACCAGAGAGAAAGAGCUGCUAGUGGAUUCAGCUAAGAAGUGGAAGAUGGUACUCCUCUGAUGCCCUACUCACAGGGUGGCUUUGAGCAAGUCACUUACGCCUCCACCUCCAAGUCCUCCAUCAAUAAAAUGGGCAUAAUUCUUACCUCCCAGGCAGGUGGUGGUAAACCAAUGCUUGCAAAGCCCUUUGAAGAUGAAAAGACCUAUAAAGAUGGGAAGCUUUAGGAAGCUUGGCAUAUCAUUCUUGGCAACGAUCAGGACGCUGUGCCCUUACUACCCUCAACUGGCUUUGCCACAAAGAGAAUAAAGAAAAAUACGUAGUGCUGUAAUUUGCAUCUGCUAGUUAGACUUACUCAAAAAUUUUAAAAAAUCGUUGGUUUCCAAAAUGCCUUCCUGAGUGUCUGUCUAGAUGCUAUUAUUUUAGUCUCAACUUGUGAGAAAAAGAAUGCUUGGAUGGAAAAGUCAUCUCUCUUAUGACAGCUGUCACUUGCAACGAAACAAAACUAAACUUAAACCAGGGCUUGUACAGUUUUGCUGGGUAUCAAGAAAACGGCGUGAUUCCCAUUCAUUAAACACAAAGGGUUACCCUCCGACAUUCUCAGCUGUGCUUUUUGUUGAUAUCUGAUUCAAAAGA